rnacentral:lncRNA from 1 species
AAAAGCUUAAAACGCAUCGGCAAACUAGAUCAAACAAAAUGGGUAUUGUUUAAAAGAUUAACUACAAAACCAUCUUUUUUUCAACGAUCCCUAAUCCCUCACAUCCCAAAAUAUAUAACAAGAAGUUAAACUUUGAGAUAUAAUAGGUGUAUAUCUAUAGGAUAUUAGUAGCCCCGCUGUUGAUUUGGUCCUUGAUUCUUAGAUGUGGUGAUUUCGUAUGUGUCUAAAUGCCUUGGAUAGUUCCAGCUAGUGUUUAUGAAUUUGUUGCUCGAUUGAACGGGUCCCGGGUGAGUUUCGGACCACCCGAAGCAUGUUUGAGGUGGCUGAUAUUAAUGGUGCCCAGUGUGCUUCGCGAUCGCGGAGCACACUCUGCGUUUGCGAAGAAGGGAGUGUGGCCUGGAAGUUUGGCCUUCGCGUUCGCGAAGGGGGAUCGGAGUUGCAUUCACGGAAGGGGCUGGGUCCUUAGCCUUCGCGUUCGCGGAGGAGCUGGGAGAUUUCGCGAUGAAGGCGAGGCAGAGGCCUUCGCGAUCGCGUGACUCCUGCCGGGUUCGCGAUAAUGGAUUACGGACUAUGUCAGUUUUAUGUUUCGCGAAUGUGAAGGUUAGGUCGCAUUUGCAAAUUGUCUCACUGGAAGGGUUAUUUUAAGUUCUAUUUCGGGACUUAGCUAAAUAAAAUUCAAAAAUUUGAAUUUACGAGAACGAGAGGAGAAAUUUUUAAGAUGGAUUUUACUAUAAUUUUGGAGAUAAGUAACUUUCACUUGGAGUUGAUAAACUUUGAGUCCAAAUGCUCAAACACUGCAAGUCUCCAACAACUUGGAAAAUGAAAAAAUACUAAUGCAACCAAGAGAUCUAAGAUGUGAAUUUCUUUGGUUAGUCAUCCUUCAUCGGACCGAAGCAAAGAGCAGUUUUAACAGAGUUGAUUUCUCAUAAGUUCACUGGGCUAAUGAAAAUUAGUUUAAAAAGUCACUUUGCUUUUUUUGUAAUUGAAUAAUCCACUCAAUAUUUUGACACGACACAUAAACAUUCAAUGAUAAAUCACAUAAAUUUAUACAAAUAUCUGCGGCAGACAAAGUUUAUAAUAAACUAGGAGUUCAUUUGAACCCAUUAAUUUUUUAAAUUAAAAUAAAUAUUUAGGAUAGUCUAUAUAUGAAAAAUAUACGUGCACUCAAUAGAGAGAUAUUGACAUAACAAGAGUGAGUUAAUGCUCUUGCUCUUGAAUGAAAAAAACGAGUUUGUUGAGAAUAAACGGACCCUUAUUAGGUUAUGCCAUCUGGAAAUAGACUACGGUGUACAUUUGGCACCAUUUGGACCACUCGGCUUUCACGAGCAUUAAUUUUUAUCUUAUUGUUUGAACGCAUGAAAUUUGUUUUUUUUUAUUGUUAUUCGAAGUUGAGCAAUUUAUCUUUAAACUUGUAAUAACAUACAAUUACGUGCUCGAUUUUCAUUUGAAUUUUAUGAAAAGUUUGCAUAACGCAUGCAUUAUAUAUGAUGAGUUGGGCAAAUGCUUUCGUGCGUUAUAAAUAUUUAGUCACAUUCAGGUUUUAAUACUUAUUUUCGUCUUGAGAAUAGUAUUUUUGCGUCAUUUUGGUUCGAGAUUUCAUGUAUUUUUAUGGUGGCUAUAUUGUUUAUAAGCAACUUGACUUCAACUUAAAAAGGAAAACGGCAACGUCAAAUUAAGGUCUUUACAUUGUUUUGUACAUUUUUUGUUUCGAUUUUGUUUGAGGUGUGUGUUAUGGCAUCUAUUAGGUAUCUAUAUUUUUUAAUCCUGUGUCGACUUAUGACUGAUUUGCCAGUCUAAAUGUCAAAUAACAAAAGUGUUGUUAUUAAAGGGAAACUUCACUAGUAUUGCAACUACUAAGGUUUAAAUAAUCUCUAACUUCUUGAAAUUUUGAGAGAGCGCACCCCAAGUUUAACCUCAUGACACUAAUCUCACCCGUGAUUCGCAAUAUUACUGUCACCAUCCAAAAUCACGCCACAUGCAUCGUGAUUGCACUUAGUCUCUAAGACUGGGUAAGCCAAUUUUAAUAACAUAUCAAGCCAUUUGUUUUAUAUAGAUAAUCGAAACCAACAACGAAAAUAAUUAUAACAACCUCCCAAGACUAGUAAUACUGGGUCAUGAACUCUAACUGAAUACAUGAAAUGAUCUCAAAGAUCGAAUAUACAACACUGUUCGAAUAAUAAUUAAUAGUCACUACAAACCCUACAGCGCGCGCAAUGGAUAUUAUAUUUGGGAUGGAGUUCCCUUGGCAUGAAGUUGUCGUAUUUAUUUAUAUUUGGGAUGGAGUUCCCUUAGAAUGGAGUUACCUUAUUUAUUUAUAUUUGGGAUGGAGUUCCCUUGACAUGGAGUUGCCGUAUUUAAUUAUAUUUGGGAUGGAGUUCUCUAGGCACGGAGUUGCCUUAUUUAUUUAUAUUUGGAAUGGAGUUCCCUAGGCCGGAUUGGCCUUGUACGGUACUGAGUGAAUGAAUGUCAGUUACUUUAUAUAUAUAUUUGUGAUAGAUCUUCCCUAGGCUUAUUGGCUAUAUACAGUACUGUGACAUUGAGUACUCUAAGAGGGUGAGUACAUGAGUUCAUCAUUGUGCUGCAUUGCAUUAGACAUGCAUACUUGAUAUAUAGGCAUAAAGAAGUAUUUUUCCUCAUGUCAUCUAAUAAUAUGAUUUCUUAUAUGUCGUUAAAGUUUUUGUGAAAUAUUACAGGUUUCAGACUUAUUCAUAUUUUCGGCGACUUUCGGCAAAUGAUUUGAGUUUUACUGUUAUAUUGAAAAGAAAAUUAUUAUUUUUCCGGAAUUUUGUACGAGCUGAGCAUUUUAUUAUUGAGUUAUUACUUGUGCUGUUUAAAUUGUAUUGUUAUGAGAUGUUAUUAGUUAUUAGAAUUGGACUCUGACCCGUGUCCCAACUCGUCACUACUUUCAACCUACAGUUAGGUUUGUAAUUUAUUGAGUACAUGGGGUAGAUUGUACUCAUACUACACAUUUGCACCUUCCAUGCAGAUUUUGGAUGUUGAUGCUACUGUACAUGGCGGGAGCUGAAUCUGAAGAUGUACUUGUGUUCCAGUCAUAGCUGCCUCUUGUUCAUGGUAGCUUUAGAAUUUUAAUCUGUUCAUGUAUAUUUCAAACAGAUGACGUAUUUUAUUUCACACCUGCUUUGUAAAUUCUAAUCUUAGAAGCGCAUGAAUUGUACUACCAGUUAUUGGGGAGUGUAUUAGAUUCAGUUAAAUAUUAAUUGAAUCGGAUAUUUAUAAAUUAGCUUACCUAACGGGUUGGGUUAAGUGACAUCACAGCUAGUUGAAUUUGGGGUCGUGACACGUUUAUGUAGCAAUUGUUACUUGUCAUUUAAUUACUCUUGUAUUAAAUUGUCUGUCCUUUCCAUGACUUCAUGCUUAGUUGCUACUUGCUUUACUUGCAUACCUAAAUUGUCACAUGCUUUACUUGCCUUAUUGUUUUGUAAUAUUUGUUGCAUUCUAUAAAUGUAAAUUCCAUUACAUGAGUUGUAUAGUUGAUAGAUACCGACGAAUUGGUAAAGUUGAGACAUCGAUAUGUUGAGAUUCUUGAUUUAUUAUAUGGUUCCUUAUUGUGUUAUAAAUUUACCCCCUUGAUGUAGAAAUUCUUGUAAAUUUAGUUAUUGAAUUGUUUAUGUUGAUUGAAAUGGUUUGGGGAGCGGGUUGCACGCCGCAAUGGAAAUUGAAAGAUAAUGAAUUAAAAUGGUGGAAUAAGGACGGAUUAUGAUAUUGACAGAUGAAGAUAUGGUGGGAUCGGGUUGCACGCUACAACGGAUUGUAUAUGUGGUACUUGUUUGUGAUUGUUGGACUUGCCUCGGUAUUCUAACGAGGUUAUGAGGCUUGUUAUUCUAGGCUCUUUGGUAGUUAUAUUUCGAUUUCGUUUUCAUGAGUUAGCUGCUUUACUUCCAUGUCCUAUUUUCUUGUUAUUAUUGUUGUGUACAAGUUAUUCUAAGUGGCUCGCCUUAGCCGUGCCACUACUUCGUCAAGGUUAGGCUCGGCACUUGUAGAGUACAUAGGUUCAGUUGUACUCAUACUACACUCUCCACUUCUUGUGCAGAUACCGGAAUAGGUCCCAACAGCGCUGAGUGAGAUUGGCUAGAUUUUACUACUUGAGAAGACUUGAGGUAUAGCUGCACAACGUCCGCAACCCUAAAGUCUCCUUCUAUGUUAUCAUUGUUGUUUAUUUUGUUUUAGCGAUCAUUAUUAUUGCCACUAAAACUCAUUUUUAUUGCCACUAAAAGCCUUUUUUGUUGUGGUAAAAUUGCAAGGGGUGUUGAAUAAAAAAGUGUGGUUCUAUUUAUUUAUUUUGUUAAAUGUGAAGUUCAGUUUACUUUAUAAGAGUUGUGAACUCAUUUUUAUAAUGUAAGAAUCUAUGGAUAGAGCUAGAAUUUGAAGCUUAUAAGUUAUUUUCUUAUUGUAGUAAGACACAUGACAAAAAUAUUUUUAAUUUGCGUUUUCCUCUUUUAUUUGUUAUAAUAUUCUAGAUUUUUAUUGAUCCAAGAGUACACAAAUUAUCUAAGUAUUAGAAAUCGUAGAAUCUUUUAUUAUAAUUCAGAAUAAGGUAAUAAAGAUGGAUCAUAAAUAAGAUCACAUGCACUUACAACAAGCUCACUCUUAUCAUAGAGAAAGAGUGAUUUUAUUAGAAAAUCAUAAAGACAAACACAACAAAGAUGCAAAAUAGAAAACAUAAAGGCCACUGGGUAGAGAUAUAUCCAAUUAGUUUGGACGAAUGUCGAAGCCCUUAACAAUGAUGCCAGAUUUCCAAGUUUUGUCAUUGAUUUCCAUCAACCUCAUUUCGACUUCACCAUCCUCUCCUAAGUUGUUGAAAAACUCACCAAGCUUGAUUUCUAACCAGCCAUCACUUCGGAGAUGUGGGAACCGGCCAAGUUCUCCUGGUAAUUCCUUUUUCUUCGAGAUGAAAACAGUGGUACCCUCAAUGCCAGCGCCCUCCGCCACUUCGUUCACAAAUCUUAGCGAUGCUGUGGCUCGUUCAAGUUCACGAGGGUUAUCUGUUAACUUGAACACUAAAUAUACAGCAUAACUAGUCUUUCGAAUGAGAUUUUUUGUCUCGAUCUUUCCAUAAAUGUCAAGCCAAGCUACCCUACGAAGCUCCGCCACUUCAAUACUAUAGUACAAAAUGUUGAGAUCGGAUUAAAAUAUAUUUCUCAUUUUAAUGAAAUUUAGAGAGAGAUAGUUAUAGAGAGAGACAGACUUAGGAUCAACAGUUUUCCAUGUCCAGUACUGAGGAUUGUCCACCCAUGUAAUUGAAAGGUCUCUUGCGGCUAUCCACUGGCCUUGCUGAUUAGAUACAAUAUAUUAACACUUGAUCAGUUGUUACGUAAGAAAGAAAGAGUAAGAAUAUAUCAACUAGAAGAAUAACUUACCAUCUUUCUUGUAUUGCUAUAUAUGAUAUGAUGCUAUCUUUUUAGUUGGCUCUACUCCCCUUUGCUUCGUCCUGAUAUUUAUAGAGCAUUUACUGGACUCCAAAAUUUGUCACCAUAGUACUAUAGUAGGUGCGUUAACAAGAACAAUUUUUUUACUUGAAUGUUAAAAACGUGUCUAUUGGCAAACCCUUUGUAAUACGGCUCAUUCUGCCAUUGUUGAAACAGAUAAGAUUGCCUUUUUAGGACCAUUUGGAUAUUCUUGAAAAGAGAUGUCAAGUUGCACAUAUAUUAUUUAGUCACUAUUGUAUUUUUGGGGACAAAAGGGUAAAUACAAAAUAAACCAACUUAGUUGGCGCCCGUUUGACCCAUCUUAAGACCCAUAUUACCAGACACAAAAGCUUAAAACGCAUCGGCAAACUAGAUCAAACAAAAUGGGUAUUGUUUAAAAGAUUAACUACAAAACCAUCUUUUUUUCAACGAUCCCUAACCCCUCACAUCCCAAAAUAUAUAACAAGAAGUUAAACUUUGAGAUAUAGUAGGUGUAUAUCUAUAGGAUGUUAGUAGCCCCGCUGUUGAUUUGGUCCUUGAUUCUUAGAUGUGGUGAUUUCGUAUGUGUCUAGAUGCCUUGGAUAGUUCCAGCUAGUGUUUAUGAAUUUGUUGCUCGAUUGAACGGGUCCCAGGUGAGUUUCGGACCAUCCGAAGCAUGUUUGAGGUGGCUGAUAUUAAUG